UGUCGAUGCCUCACAAUCAGAUUGACCCGCGAAUUCGUUUUUCCAUCUACCAGCAGGCAAGCAGGGGUCGGGCCGGGCUUCUUCCGUCCGUCCUCCCCUUGCUUUGCCUGUUGCGUUGGGGCGGGGGGGUGGACACAAAGCAAGCAUCGUCUUGCCUGGCCUCCUCUCCUCCUUCCCAACAAACACAACCCCCGGCGCUUCGUGCGCCAAGGAACUCCAAUCUGUUAAGUGCGACUCCCAACGGCCCGGAGACGGUGCCCCGCGGGCGUUGUCACGACGCACAUUAUUAUACAAAAUGACUCUCGGCAACGGAUAUCUCGGCUCUUGCAUCGAUGAAGAACGUAGCGAAAUGCGAUACUUGGUGUGAAUUGCAGAAUCCCGUGAACCAUCGAGUCUUUGAACGCAAGUUGCGCCCGAAGCCAUUAGGUGGAGGGCACGCCUGCCUGGGUGUCACACAUCGUUACCCCCACGCAAACAAAUGUCUCACACGACAAACGUUCUGCGUAGUAGGGUGCACGCUGACCUCCCGCGAGCACCGUCUCGCGGUUGGUUGAAAAUCGAGUUCGUGGCCGAGUACGCCGUGAUAAAAUGGUGGAUGAGCAACGCUCGAGACCAAUCACGCGCCGCGACUCGGUCGGCUCCGGACUCCUCCACGACCCUAUAGUGCCUCUUCUUCGGGGAGACGCUCUCAACGAGACCUCAGGUCAGGCGGGGCUACCCGCUGAGUUUAA
rnacentral:rRNA from 1 species